AAUUUUGUGUGUGUGACCUUUUCACAACAAACACACAAUCACUUCUUUUGUUGUGCCUUGUUUGGUUUGUUUAUUCAUUUCACCAAACUCACAAUCACAAAUUCAUCACAACCCGAAACGCGUUUUCCUCCUCUACCUAAUGGAGUUGUAUGCAUCGUCUCAUUCCCUUCCAAACUACCCUUCCUCUUUCCUCUUCAAACCUAAGAUCACCACUUUCCGCACAACCCUUUUCCCAACAAAAUUCGCACCUUUCAAAGCUUCAUUCUUUUCACCAAAUCACCUCACUCUCACUACCCCUAUGAAUCCUCCCACAACAUCUAUUUCCUCUGCUGCUUUUGUGGAACACAACAACGGUUCAACCUCAACUUCUUUGCCUUUUCACCCAGAGACUAGAGUUGGAGAGGUGAAAAGGGUCACUAAGGAGACUAAUGUAUCUGUCAAAAUUAACUUGGAUGGUUCUGGUGUGGCUGAUUCUAGUACUGGAAUUCCCUUCCUUGAUCAUAUGCUAGAUCAACUUGCUUCACAUGGGCUAUUUGAUGUACACGUGAAGGUUUCGUUAACGCGUUUGGUCUCUUCUAUUGUCAUCGUGUCUGAGACUUGGUAGUGGAAGCUGCGUUCAUCCUUCAUCUUUGUUGUUCUAGAUUUUGGAGGUUCUGAAUGCUCCUCGGUUGGAGGUUUGGCGUGGUAAUUGUGGUUGAGUUUGAGAUGGAAGCUAUUUAGAAUAUCCUUAGUUAUUCAUCUGAUUAGAGGCUUGGUUGUCAUUGCUUUGCGGAUUCAUGGACAUACUGCCCCUUGACAAGGUCGAUUUUAGCCUUACCUUUAAUGUUUUUAAUGUAUCUAUACUCUAUGAGAUUGUUGUUGAUGUUAAAAUUCUGGUGCCUCGAUGGGUUAUUAGAUUGCAACAACACCUUUAGAUUCGUUAAUGGCUGUUUCUGUGCUAUUAUCCUUAGUAUUCUUAUGCAUUUGCUGAUUGUUGUUGA